rnacentral:lncRNA from 1 species
GCUUUUUUUAUAAAUUUAAAUUAGUAAAUAUAAAAUUGUACUUUCGUCUCCCCUAAAAAAUUGUUUUAGCUUCACUCUUGGGUUCGGGGAUCAAAGUACAUAACCUGGUCAGAUCAAUGGUGAUAGUCAAAGUGACAGCAGUUCUUCACGGGCUCCAAUUUGCAUUAGAUAUGGGCUUCAUAAAUGCCAUUCUGGAAAGUGAUUCGAAGCUGGUUAUCCAGAAUAUUCAACAAAUGAGUGAAGAUUACUCGGAAUCUAGACCACUCACCUGGGAUGCGAAGGUUCUUGCAAGGAACUUUAUUUCUUGUUAAUUUCAAUUUGUUGCAUGAGAAGGGAACGCUGCAACGCAUGCAGUGGCUGUCGAAGGUUUGCGAACGCAAGUGGACUCAUUCUGGGUUGAAGAUGCUUCAACAAAAGUUUUGGAAGUGGUAGACUCAGAUCGACGAUUCAGUCAUCCACCCUAGCCUCCUCUACUAUGAUGUUGAUUUUUGAGUUGCGAAAUUUCAAAAUCUUCCUGUAAAUCUCAACUCGCCUCCUUGUCUGGCCGAUCUUUCACCAUAAUUUUGGGGGUUAUGGCCGUUUGGUGUUUCAGGUACGCGAAGGGACUGGAAGAAGGUUCUGGAGAGGGUUGUGUUUCUAUUUUAUUUUGUUUUCGUUACUAUGCUGUUAGAACUUUACUUUUGUUUGCUUGUUGGAUUACUUUUGGACUUCUUUAUUUUUUGGUCUUCCAGGCCCAUAUAUUUCAAACGGACUUUGACUAAAAAAAUUAAAUUUGAAAAUAAAUAUACGAAUGAAUUAUUUUAA